rnacentral:snoRNA from 1 species
GUGCCCUUUUAAGGUUGACGCGGUGCCUUAGAGGCUAACACAGAAAGGGUAAAAUAAGUCUCCAUAAAACCCAGGAAGGAGAUUGUAAAACUCCUCUUUGGAUCCUGUCUGGAGUCACAGCU